CUUAUCAAGAGCGGCGGAGGGAACAGGCCCUGUGAAGCCCGGCAACCUGCAUCUGCAAGGUGCCAAAUCCUGCGGGAAACCGAAAGAUAAG
rnacentral:ncRNA from 1 species